rnacentral:rRNA from 1 species
GCCGCUCUGGGAUGGGCCUGCGGCCCAUUAGCUUGUUGGUGAGGUAAUGGCUCACCAAGGCGACGAUGGGUAGCUGGUCUGAGAGGAUGUCAGCCACACUGGGACUGAGACAUGGUCCAGACUCCUACGGGAGUUAGCAUCGGGGGAUAUUGCGCAAUGGGCGAAAGCCCGACGCAGUGACGCCGCGUGCAGGAUGAAGGCCCUAGGGUCGUAAACUGCUGUCGGGUGGGAUGAACGCCGGGGGUGACGCCUCGGUUUGACAGUACCACCCAAGAAAGCCCCAGCUAACUACGUGCCAGCAGCUGCGGUAAUACGUACGGGGCACGCGUUGUCCGGAAUUACUGGGCGUAAAGGGCGUCUAGGCGGGCUUAGUAAGCGGAAUGUGAAAGCCCAGGGCUCAACCCUGGAACGCCGUUCCGAACUACUAGGCUUGAGUUCGGGAGAGGGCAGUGGAAUUCCCGGUGUAGCGGUGAAAUGUUUAGAUAUCGGGAGGAACACCAGUGGCGAAGGCGGCUGCCUGGACCGAUACUGACGCUGAAGCGCGAAAGCCAGGGGAGCGAACGGGAUUAGAUACCCCGGUAGUCCUGGCUGUAAACGAUGAACACUAGGUGUUGGGGGCAUCAACCCUUCCAGUGCCGAAGCAAACGCAUUAAGUGUUCCGCCUGGGGAGUACGGCCGCAAGGUUAAAACUCAAAGGAAUUGACGGGGCCCCGCACAAGCGGUGGAGCAUGUUGCUUAAUUCGACGCAACGCGAAGAACCUUACCAGGCCUUGACAUCCAGGGAAUCCUCCCGAAACGGAGGAGUGCCCUUCGGGGAACCCUGAGACAGGUGGUGCAUGGCUGUCGUCAGCUCGUGUCGUGAGAUGUUGGGUUAAGUCCCGCAACGAGCGCAACCCUCAUCGACUGUUGCCAGCGGGUAAUGCCGGGGACUCUGUCGAAACUGCCCGAGCAAUCGGGAGGAAGGUGAGGAUGACGUCAAGUCAGCAUGCCCCUUAUGGCCUGGGCUGCAAACAUGCUACAAUGGACGGUACAAAGGGCAGCGAGACCGCGAGGUGGAGCAAAUCCCACAAAGCCGUCCUCAGUUCGGAUUGAAGUCUGCAACUCGACUUCAUGAAGUUGGAAUCGCUAGUAACCGUAGAUCAGCAACGCUGCGGUGAAUACGUUCCCGGGGCUUGUACACACCGCCCGUCACAUCAUGGAAGCCGGCUACACCCGAAGUCCGUGCGCU